UGCAGGAUCCUUAUUAGAAAUUAAUUCCUUCUGAAGACACCAAGUUUAGAAAUAUCUUCAGUCUGGUUUCUACAUUUCUCAGAUACAUGAUGUUGACUACUUGAACCAAACUGAUACUUGCUCAAACACUUGCUCUCAGAUUACUGGGAAAACCACUUCCAAAGACAAAUAAUCAAACUACAAACUAGCUUGGAAUUCUAAAUCAAUGUUUGCAGCCAAUGAAACACAACACAGACAAAAAAAGUUUUAACAUGGAAACUUACUCUUAGAAAAUACAUACUCAUUUCCUGACAGUCUUCUCAAGCCAUCCUGAAAUAAAGAUUCUAUAAGUUGUAGGAAACCAUUAUCAAGCAUAAAGAAUACUUUACACCAUUUCCCCAUAGGAACUAGUCCUGGGUACCUAAAAUAUUGGUCAUAUUUUAGGGAGUGCCUCAAGCAGCAUGCUUCUUUUCAGUCUUCCAGUACAGAGGUAGAAGUAACUACCAAGGGACUCAGAAGCUCCAACUCCACUUUCUUGGAGUUGAAAAGUUUGAUAAAAGUGGUAACUGCUACUGCAAGAUUUCCUUUUUAAUGACACAGGUCUAAAAGCAGGGACACUCGGACUAUUGAAUACCACUGGUAGGAGGUCUCCAGAAAGGGUAUUUAUUUGAUCAACAAUGUAUUGGCCUCCUCUCAUCCCCUUUCAUUGAUGGUUGCAUGAUGUUUUUAAUUGAAAUUCACAAAUUUCACUUGUUUUGCAUUUCAAUUAUGCUGUUUCCACAAGCGACCCAUUCUGGGGUUCCUGACCAGCAUUUGUAGGAAGAGGGUUUGAGAUAUUCCACUAUGAAAAUCCAGUGCAGGUUUAGUGUGUAGGGCAGACUGGACAUGGUAAAAAGCUCCUUAGCAGGUCAAAGUUCAGUUUUACAACUUCUGUAUAGUCACUGACUGCUUCAGUUCAAUUGCAGUGCAGUGAUCUUUUAAGCUUUUUCUUAAAAGCUUUCAGGAACUUGGGAUACUACUGAUUAGGUUAUCAAUAUAUGUAGUUUCCAAUGGAACUAAAGAAUUAUUCACGUAAGAGUAGCAGUGUUUCCAAGCCAACUGACUGAAAAACAGCAAGAGUAACAAUCUUCAUGCUUACUGGUGCCUCUCAGGUCAACUUCACUGGUGUGGCCUAAAUGCAAGGCAAGUCCCCCUGAAGGUACAGGCACUAUAGCUGACGAACCCUCAGUCAGGUGGAUGCAGGGAUUCCCUUGCCCCAGUGGUGGAAGACAGAUACCCACUGGGUCAGAUCAGUUAGUUGAUGUUUGUUUAAAUUUUCUUUUCCUACUCACAGUCAUCAGACCUCCAACAAGAUCACUUGUGUGAGGAUCUUCAUCUUUGGUACCUAACUGAGGGGAAUAAAGUUCUGUUGUCCGUAAAAUUUCCAAAACUCUGUCCAAAGCCUCUGCUACCGUGACAGGGCUGUUCUCCUGGGCAGUAUUGAUGAUGUUAAUAACCUGAGGGGGUGGGAGGGAAGAGUAAAACCAGAUUGCUUCAAAGAAAAAACAUUGUUCCCUUCAUAUUAUUACAAAAUCUUAAUCCCCACGACAUUUACAGUGACAGCAGUCAGUAUACUGUGUUAUUUCACACUUUGUAGAAGUCCUAUGGUCACCCCAAAUACUAAGUGUAUUAUAUAAAUAACCAGAGAGUCUAGAUUUUCUGAAUCUGAAUUCCCUCCCUUACAUUCUAUUAUUUUGGUGCUUUAAACAGCAGAUUAGGUGAGAAGAAACCUACUGAGGAGCUAUGGGGACCAGGAGCCUGAGUGAAGAGAGAGGUGUGAAUGCCUAGCCUAGGCAUCCUUAUUAGAAGUUGUGUGUCUGGGCCCAAGGUAUUUUAUAGGCAGGCUAAUGGGUGGCAAUGCCACAAGACUACUGAGACCCGAUAAACUAUGGGACUAUACAGGUCUCCAGACAAAGAAUCCAGGCCAGAACUCAAACAUUGUGAUUGUGGAGGCAAAGCUAUGAUUUUCUAAAUGGCUCUCAAUAUAAAAGGAAGAGAAAGCAGGGGCCACACAGAUAUUCUAUUCUAUGGCUAUAAUUUAGAAGGAGAGACCCAAAGAGGAUAUUUGUAACAGAGUAAAUAAAAUUGAGAUGCACAAUUUCCCUUUGUUGUAAAUAGACCCACAUAUUUUUCUGCAAAGAUAGUACCUAACCCUGAGUUUGUGGCAUACAGUAGCAGUCAGUGAUACAUUUUUUUACCUUUGUGAUAGGUGCUUCUAUUGUCAUUGAGUGGAUUCUUGCCAUUGAUGAAUACCGACGAUUCUGUAAGCUUGGCGCUGCCAUUGCAUAAAAUAUACAGAUUUAGAUUUUGACACUGCACGUAACUCCGAACACGCAUUUAAAUGAAAGAGCCCUAUGAAUCACUGGCACAUAGAGACUGUCAUUGGGAAUGACCUAACAAAAUAUGCCCUUAGCUAGCAAAGGGGUUCAAAGUUGCUUAAUCCCCUGCACACGAGGGUCCAGCAGGAAGCUAUUAGCAGUCACUAGCACCAACACUGCAGCUGAUUCAGUUGAGUAUACUGGUGCCUAUUAGGGGCUUGUCUACAUGGGAAUACUCAGGAAAAUUAAUCUGAAUAACUGAAGCUGUAAAUUUUAAAUGGAUUAGUUAAAACCACAUUAAAUCCCUGCAUCGACACUCUCCUUCAGAAUUAAAAUAGCCUUAAUUCAGUCUAGCUUUUCUUUCAACUCUCCUUUUAUUUGUUUCACACUCUGAACCCUGAGACUCUGCCGGACCACAACCAGGUUCUUAGAUCUCUGCAAACUAGGAUUGCUUGGGAGUGCGUGCAAAUGAGCAGAAAUGGUGAAAGAAGCCUCUAGCGUCACCAUGCUCACAUCCCAUCACAGCGGCCAGCCACAAAUGGGAUAAGGAGCGAGUCUUAGCCAGUAGCAGAACAAGGCUCCUGUGGGCUGAAGGCCCCUCCCCCUCCUGCAUUGGCCCGUGAAGCUGAACAAACAUAGGAGGAGCACAAGCUGCACCCUUUCAAAGGGGGCAGAGCUGGCACUCCAUAAAUGCAUUCUUCCAGAACCCUCCUACCCCUGCUGCAGCGCAGCCACACCUCACCUUCAUGCAGGCUGUACAUGAUCAGGCAUCAUACUGAAAAGUUAGUGUCUACUACUGUUUUGGGAAGUACCUCAUAAUUCAACAUAAAUGGAUAACAAAAAACAUUGGAAGACAUGUCAAAGAUCACUUGUGCGUCUCUCCAUCAGUAGCUCAGAAGAAUGCUACUGCUGUUCAGUGCAUCUGUCCUGUUUAACUCUGUAUUUUGAUGGCUCAGGUCACUUGCUUUCUAUAUUUCUAACUGUAUUCUUUUUGGAUUUCUGUUUUCUUACCAUCGCUGCUUCGAGAUGUUAUUGAUUUGACAUCAAUUGAUUCUUUCCUCCUGUUCUUGCAUCUGAAGGAGUGGGAUUCUAGAAAUAUAAAAUGAAAACUUUAAAAUGACAAUAAUAAUAAAUACACUGCUCUUCUACUGCCCCUUCCAUUUUAAAAUCCCAAAGCUCGUUAUCUUCACAGCCCCCUGUGAGGUAGGGAGAUAUUGCUAGCUCUAUUAUACAGAUAAAUGGAGGCAGAGACAGAUUAAGGCCAGAUUUUUAAAGAUAUUUAGGCACCUAAAGUUGCCUACUGGGAUUUUCAAAAUUGCCCAGGGGCUAGGUUUUUAAAAUAAUUGAGAUCAAUGGGAGUUCAGUUUAAAUACUUUUAAAAAUCUGGCCCAUGUCAACUGAUACCUAUUGAAAUAAAUUGGAGUUAGGUUCUUAUGCAGUUUUGAAAACCCCACUAGGUGUUGAUCUGCUUCUUUAGGUGCCUAAAUACCUUUGAAAUCUGGCCCUUAGUAACUUGGCCAAGAUCACCCAGGAAUUUGCUGCACACGAAAGACAAGCUACUUUGUCUCCUGACUCCCAGUCUUGUUCUUGAACCAGAAGACUAUCCUGCUUCUCCACACGGAAUUGAGCUGGACAUUUUUUUUAUUUUGUUGAGUAUUAUAUUAAAAAAGAGUUACAGUGAUUAAAAACAAUCAAGUCAGUUGCUGCCAAGCAAUUAGCUACAAACCAAACCACCAUUCCUGACAUUGACAAGAGAGAAAAUCCCAUCUAUCAGACCAGGAAAUAGUCAGAUAAAACAGAUGCACGUUACAUGCUUCAUGAUAAUCUCAAAAGGGUAACCUGGUAAACUUCUAGAUUUUUUUUUCAGAUACAUAGCCACAGUUUACCUUACAUUGUAAAAUAAUUUCCAUCUAUCUAUGUGUACAUAUUUUUAAAAUGCCCAUCAUUGUAGUAUCUAAAGUGCCAGUUAGUUACAGAUCACAGAGAACUGUUCAGAAGGGAUAAUUAUAAUUUAAAGAAUUAGGUCCAUCAUUAAAUUGAUAUUUAUUAACUUCAUGCGAUGCUGGAGGUAUGCAUCUAAUGUGAACAUACAAUAGUAUAAAGAUAUAUAAUAUUAUAAUGUACACAGUAUUAUUGGUUGGAAACUUAAUGGUAUAUGAUUUUACUAAAAUGUCUUAGAAUUUAAAGUAAUGUAAACUAUAAAUAUAAUAAAUAUUUUAAAGUGACUAAAAUUGAUCAAAAGUUUGUUUUAGGAAUACUCUUUAGAUGCUGGAUUCAGAGACACUAAAAAGUUAGGUUGACCCAACUAUCCCUCAGAGGUGUGAAAAAUCUAUAUCCCGGAGUGACAGUUAAGAUGACCUCACCUCGGGGUAGGCAGCACUAGAUUGAUAAAAGCAUUGUUUCAUUGACCUAGCUACUGCUCUUGGGUUACCUAUACCGACAGGAGAAUCUCUCAGACAGCUGCAGCGACACAGGAGCCAGCAAACAGAGCUGUAAACAGGGGAGUUUCAGUGGGAGUUUGUAUUGUGGUGCUUGUUUGGGGUUGGUUUUUGCUGUGGGAGGUGGUGUUGUGGUGUUGUUUAUGUUUCCCAGAUAAACAGGAUUCAGGUGUGAAGGCGAUGACAGAUACAGAGGCAGCAGUGGGAGUGACCCAUGUAGUGGAAGACACAAUGAAGAUGACUGGAUGUGGAAGCUGUGUGGUGAAAGUUUGAAAGCCACUCUCCUGAAUUUACUGAGUUGCACUGCAGGAUCAAGAUCCCAGCUCCUCUGUUACAGUCUUGCUACUAGUUGUGAUUACUGCUGCUGAUUGGGUUAUUACACCUACAAAUUGUGCAUGCAGCUAUACCAUCAUCCCUUCUCCCCACCUGUUUGUUCACCCACCUGCUAUUAUUGGUUUAAAACGGCAGAUCAUU